UACGUAGGCAGCGAGCGUUGUUCGGAAUUACUGGGCGUAAAGCGUGUGUAGGCGGUGCUCUAAGUCUGUCGUGAAAUCUCCCGGCUUAACCGGGAGGCUGCGGCGGAAACUGGUGUGCUAGAGGGUGGGAGAGGUAAGCGGAAUUCCUGGUGUAGCGGUGAAAUGCGUAGAUAUCAGGAGGAACACCUGCGGUGUAGACAGCUUACUGGACCACUUCUGACGCUGAGACACGAAAGCGUGGGUAGCAAACAGG
rnacentral:rRNA from 1 species